GGGCCAGACUCCUACGGGAGGCAGCAGUGAGGAAUAUUGGUCAAUGGGCGAGAGCCUGAACCAGCCAAGUCGCGUGAGGGAAGACGGUCCUAUGGAUUGUAAACCUCUUUUGCCGGGGAGCAAAAAGCGGUACGUGUACCGCAUCGAGAGUACCCGGAGAAAAAGCAUCGGCUAACUCCGUGCCAGCAGCCGCGGUAAUACGGAGGAUGCGAGCGUUAUCCGGAUUUAUUGGGUUUAAAGGGUGCGCAGGCGGGGAGUUAAGUCAGGGAAAAAUUUUGGGGGCCAACCCCCGACAAGCCGUUGAAACUGGCUUGCUAGAGUGGGCGAGAAGUAUGCGGAAUGCGUGGUGUAGCGGUGAAAUGCAUAGAUAUCACGCAGAACUCCGAUUGCGAAGGCAGCAUACCGGCGCCCAACUGACGCUGAGGCACGAAAGCGUGGGUAUCGAACAGGAUUAGAUACCCGUGUA
rnacentral:rRNA from 1 species